GACGAACGCUGGCGGCGUGCCUAAUACAUGCAAGUGGGACGCAAGGACACACACUGUGCUUGCACACCGUGUUUUCUUGAGUCGCGAACGGGUGAGUAACGCGUAGGUAACCUGCCUAUUAGCGGGGGAUAACUAUUGGAAACGAUAGCUAAUACCGCAUAAUAUUAAUUAUUGCAUGAUAAUUGAUUGAAAGAUGCAAGCGCAUCACUAGUAGAUGGACCUGCGUUGUAUUAGCUAGUUGGUAAGGUAAGAGCUUACCAAGGCGACGAUACAUAGCCGACCUGAGAGGGUGAUCGGCCACACUGGGACUGAGACACGGCCCAGACUCCUACGGGAGGCAGCAGUAGGGAAUCUUCGGCAAUGGACGAAAGUCUGACCGAGCAACGCCGCGUGAGUGAAGAAGGGUUUCGGUUCGUAAAGCUCUGUUGUAAGUCAAGAACGUGUGUGAGAGUGGAAAGUUCACACAGUGACGGUAGCUUACCAGAAAGAGACGGCUAACUACGUG
rnacentral:rRNA from 1 species